UGUGUCGCCUCCUGGGCGCCGGGCCAGGGCUCGGGCCGUGGCCCACUCACUGCGGCUUGAAGCGAGGACGACUAGUCCUCUCGGACGGGCCAUUCCCAGGCGCUUCGACCAGGCUUCCACUCCAGGUGGGCACGUGGAACUUGAUGAAGAGGUAACCAGUCUGCUAACCCAACCUUCACCCUGCCCUGAAACCAGAGACCUCUGUCUGGGGCUGCCUUGGGUGUGGGCUGAGGGAGGGACAAAGGACUUGGGACAUGUUUCUCUUACUGAGAGAAAUGUCUGGGAUCAGUGCUGUCUCGUUUCCAGCUGCUGGACGGAGGGCUUCGAGAGCUUUGGGAGGAGAGUGGACUACAGCUGCCCCAGGGCCAGUUCUCUUGGGUCCCUCUGGGGUUAUGGGAGGUGAGACAGGAACCUGGAAAAGGUCCCUUCCUUAUUUAACCAAAAGCCCUCAACAACUUCAAACCCACCGAAGCCUAUAGAACAGCCCUACCUGCCUUGGCCGCAGGAGAAACGAUUAACAGUGGGUGGAAGUUUGGAGUCCCCAAACCCACAAUCCCCACCCGUGUGCCUCCUGUACCAUCUCUACCCUCCACUUCCUCAGCUGUGUUUACAAAGUCUCGACAAGAGAUAGGAAGUUCUCAUCUUUGCUGUAUUCUCUCUUAGUCUGCCUACCCUCCUAGGCUGAGCUGGGGUCUCCCCAAAUACCAUCACAUCAUUCUCUAUCUACUCGUGGUCUCCCGGGAAUCACAGCAGCAGCUGCAGGUAGGGCUGGCAGUGUAGGAAGGAAAUGCGGGUUGAGACCCAAGCAGACUGGUUCUGUGACUAGGGUGGCGGGUGGGGGGCAGUCAGAGAUAACCAAGAAAUCCAAUAGCCUCUCCCCUUGUCCUUGCCCCAAGUCUCUCUCCAUUCCACCUGUGGGUAGGCUGCGGUCAAGAACAGGCCUCCUAAGAGAGGCCAUGGCUCAGGGAUCUACCUACCUAUCUGGCCCAGGCCCGGAUCCAACCAAACCCAAGUGAGGUGAGCGCCUUUAUGUGGCUGGGACCAGAUGUAGCAGCUGCAGUGGCUGCCACAGAGGAUGGGACAGAGACACCCAAACAUCUCCCCCAGGAGCUACCACCCUCCAUCCUGUAAGAGCUUUUGCCUGACCCUCCAACACACCAACACAUAGUCAUUGGGAAGUUCCGCUUCUCUCCCCUCCCCAGGGGGGAGUUUUGGGUCAUGAGGGACAUUUAGGGAGUGGGUUGGUCAGCUGAUGAUGAAAGGGGCACAUGAGCAAGGACACUGUCCGUCCAACUCCAAGGGUUCCUGCUCCAAGCUGGCUAGCACUGACCACCUGGGUUCGAGUCCCACUCCCCCAAAGGGACAAGUUAUUUAACCCUCCUUGAACCUGUUCCUCUCUGUAAAAUGAGGGCAUCGUCCAUCCAUCGCUCUCCUGCCGUGGCUGGGAGGGCUCUGUGGAAGAGGGCUAAGCCACGAGGCACAGCCCAGACAGGAGCUGUCGUCAUGCAGUACGGCAGAACUAGAGGAGGACGGAGGAGCUCGACCCCUGGCC